AUCACUUCUCAGCCUUCUGGCUAAGAUGAAGUGUACUAUCUGUUCUUAUAAAUGUAACAGUAGACUUCCUCAGAGGGGCAAUUACAAUUAAUUAAAAUUGUAAAAUCAUACAUGGUUGGUCUCCUGUCCAGCUGCUGCUAGUAAGCAGUCUGUGCCCCAGUUUAUGGGGGCCCUGUCCU
ensembl:snRNA U2 U2 spliceosomal RNA